CAAAUGGGGACGGGGAUAGACAUA
rnacentral:piRNA from 1 species